AUUAUUCUAUUGAACUGUUAUGUAUUGUACACACACAAACAUAUGGAGGACCAAAUCUGCAGUAAUUAUAGAUAAAUGCACAAAUAAAUAGAUGAAUAAAUAAAUGGAUGAAUGAAUGCACACAAAUAGAUAAAUCAUUAUUUUAAUAAUUAAUCCCACUCUCAUUUUAUUAAUUUAUAUUAUUUCUUAAUUUAUUUAUUUCUGUACGUCUUCCUUCAAUAUGAUAAUGAGGUGUCAAUCAAACGUAUGUGGGUGGUAUCUAACACACCAAUGGUGAAUCAAUGCCAAAGCACCUUGCAUGAUUGCAGUUGCCUGGGCUGCGUUCAGUAUAACCGAUUAGCCCCCCUCAUCAGCCAAUAAUGUGCAGUGCAUAUAGCUAUGUAUUAAUAUUAUAUGUCACCGUUUUUGGGGUAGAAAUCAGUUAUAUGCAGCUGUACCGCAGGCGCACCAUAAAAACAUUGCUCUUCCUUGAUUUAGAAGCAGGUGAACAAUUUUACAACACUGAUCCAUUGACUGCGUUACUUUUGACAAUAAGCCACCGGACUACAGUCAUAUCGUUUUGAACCUAGAAGAAGGAGUUGACCGGGAUUGCCCAGAAAACCAUGUUACUGUAAACGAACGUUACUGACCUGGUGGAGGCAGGACAUUUUUCUACAUCUACGUUGAGGCUUGUUACCAGCGGGAACAUGGAGCACUCUGUCAUCUCUCUCCAGGUGCUACAGAGACAGAAUGGUCCUCCGAGCCUUCUGACCAACUACCUGUGAUUUCUCCAGAGCACAGAGAAAGAGAUGGAACCAGCAAGAAAAGGGGGAAGAUAAACUAUCUCUGGACAAUGGCUACGGAGAGCGAGGUGCUAUCAAAGAAGAUCCAUUAAGACGGUGACGAAUAUGUGAUUGUUGUUAUAGUUUGAAGAUAAUCGUAAUGUGAUCCUGUGUCAUCUAAAGAAGAUGUAUGUUGUUCCUUUGGAGAUUGUCAUUGACUGUGUUGGAGUGUUUGUAUUGUCAGAAAUCCCUCAAUAGAGAACUGUGUUGAAUCAAGAAAACCUACUCUGGACUCGUUUAUUCCACCUUUCCACUUUAGAGUGACACCAAAUGACUUGGUCCGCUCACACAAAACUAACAUGUGUCCAUCCCCCUAAUCUCCAGGUGAGUCUGCUGGGCCAUGGAACUCUAGAGCAGUACAUCCAAAAAACCUUCCACCCUGUUGUCAGCUAUCUGCAGAUAGUUCCCUGAUGGAUGCAACUAUCAAGGCUUUCAAAGGCCACGU